rnacentral:rRNA from 1 species
GACGAACGCUGGCGGCGUGCCUAAUACAUGCAAGUCGAACGGAGUGGGGACGGGUGAGUAACACGUGGGUAACCUACCAUCAGAGGGGAUAACACUUGGAAACAGGCGCUAAACCGAAAUUGAUGGAUGGACCCGCGGUGCAUUAGCUAGUUGGUGAGGUAACGCCGCCCCAAGGCCACGAUGCAUAGCCGAUCUGAGAGGGGGAUCGGCCACACGGGGACUGAGACACGGCCCAGACUCCUACGGGAGGCAGCAGUAGGGAAUCUUCGGCAAUGGACGAAAGUCUGACCGAGCAACGCCGCGUGUGUGAAGAAGGUUUUCGGAUCGUAAAACGCUGUUGUUAGAGAAGCGGUAUCUACCCAGAAAGCCACGGCUAACUACGUGCCAGCAGCCGCGGUAAUUC